rnacentral:rRNA from 1 species
UGGGGAAUUUUGGACAAUGGGGGAAACCCUGAUCCAGCCAUCCCGCGUGUGCGAUGAAGGCCUUCGGGUUGUAAAGCACUUUUGGCAGGAAAGAAACGUCAUGGGUUAAUACCCCGUGAAACUGACGGUACCUGCAGAAUAAGCACUGGCUAACUACGUGCCAGCAGCCGCGGUAAUACGUAGGGUGCAAGCGUUAAUCGGAAUUACUGGGCGUAAAGCGUGCGCAGGCGGUUCGGAAAGAAAGAUGUGAAAUCCCAGAGCUCAACUUUGGAACUGCAUUUUUAACUACCGGGCUAGAGUGUGUCAGAGGGAGGUGGAAUUCCGCGUGUAGCAGUGAAAUGCGUAGAUAUGCGGAGGAACACCGAUGGCGAAGGCAGCCUCCUGGGAUAACACUGACGCUCAUGCACGAAAGCGUGGGGAGCAAACAGG